rnacentral:tRNA from 1 species
GGCCUCGAGGUGUAUACAUGUCAGACUGCAAAUCUGAAGUCGGCCCUCCGCCCGGGGCUUC